rnacentral:lncRNA from 1 species
CUCGAACUCACGGACCGCGAGAUCCUGCCCUGAGCGGGAGUCGGACGCUUAACCGACCGAGCCACCCAGGCGCCCCUGUUUGUUGGUUUCUAAGACGACUGCAUUCAAACGCCCCUGGGCCCACACUUGGAUUUAUUUGGCUUCAUGCCAGACCCCGUGCUUGGUGCUUCCUGUGCUCACCCCCCAGGCCUUCUUAUAGUCCUGUGAUGUGAGACUGACAUUGCACCCAUUUUACAGGCCGAGCAACUGAGGGGUAGAACAACUGGGGCUAGUGAAUGGAGGGGCUGGUCCUGAACCAAGUCGGGCUGACUCCUGUGUUGGCAUUUUGCCACAGUUUCACAGGUGCAGGUGCAGACCUGACGUGGGCGGCGGUGGGGGGUGGGAGGGGGUGGUUCCCUCUGGUCCCCUGCUUCUGAACAUUUGGCCUUAGUUCUACCUUUGUCUGGGCGUCCACGUCCCUUAACCUCGGUGCUUUCCUAUCCUCCACCCCGCCUUCCUGAGUCUCGGGGUCCGCUGGAGGUCAACACCUUGGCCUCGUACAAGGCGCAAGGCAAGGGGACGUGCUCUCCCGUCCCCAGGGCCUCACCCUGGGUGAAACAAUACCUCAGAGGGCCAGGGUGGCUUGAGGAGACGUGGUGUCGCCUUGGUUCCCCUCCACGUCCGCCCCAGAUCUGCUCCUGGCCCCGUUAACCGAAUUUAUUUUGGCUUAAGUGAGGCAGUGGCUGGAGACCGUAAAACACCUACCUUCGUGAAACCAUCAGGAGGCUCGAAUGGGGUUGUGAAGGGGACGCAGCCAUCUUCCACGGGCUGCUGGGCUCGGUCGUGGCUGGUGACACUGCUGGUGUGUCCACGUGUCCUUGGGCGGAUUCCCACGGUCAGGCUCUGACUUCUGAGGGAGAGGGGGGCAGGCCUGGGCUGCAUGGCGGGGGCAUGAGAAUGAAGGAAACGCCUUCUCUGUUUGCCUCGACUUCGUGGGUGGCCUCGAGCAACCGGGUGCUGAAUGAGUGCACGCACGGGUUGGGGGAGGGCACGCCCACAGAACGGGCGUAGUCACUAGGGUCGGGGUCCCUGUGCCCCCGCUUACUAGCUGUGGGGCCUUGGGAAAGUUGGCUAACUUCUCCGCACCUCCAUUUUCUCAUCCAUCAAGCUGAGAUAACAGCUGGAUGAAUCUUACAAGGUCGGUGGGAGGAGCUCAUGAUGCAGUGCGUGGAAAAGCCUUCUGAAUGACGUCUGGCGCAGAGUACGUCCGUACGUGUUAGCUGACCCCAAAGUACCAGCUCAAAAUGAUCCGCUCCACUCACAUUUGCUUUCCCACUCAAAAUGCGUCAGGCACGAAAGGCACAAAAUGGAGUGCCUUCAAGACUGUAUGGUGACAAGAGACAGGCGUGAGGUGUAAUUCUGGGCUCCACCGUUCACCCCCGUGUGAUCCUCUGUAAGUGGCUUAGUCUUGCGACCUUCGCUUUCCUUCCCUAUAAAAUGGAUACCAAAUAAAAGAUCUACUAAGAGUGAGGACUAAAUGAACAAUGUACAUAAAGUUAAUGGUAUUUCUUCUUCUCUCGACCUUUCUUCCCCCCCGUUCAAGUCCUUUUUGAAAGGCUAUGUGUUCUCCAAACCAGUUUUCCUUCCCUCCUGGGUACCUAGGAAGACUACAUUUCCCAACCUCCUUUGCAAUCAGGGGUGCCAUGUGACCGAGUUCCGGCCAGUGGAAUGUGGGCGGGAGUAACAUAUGCUGCUUCCAGGCCUGGCCCCUGAAGUUUCUUGUAAGAUCUUUCAUGCACAUUUCCUCCCUCCCUCUGCCAACUGAAUGUCAGUGCUCAGGGUGACCUGGGAAGCCGCAUGCUGGAGACGGUGGAGCUCCUGUCAGCAGAGACCUGCUCUUUUUUUUUUUUUAAUGUUUAUUUUUAUUUUUGAGAGAGACAGAAUGUGAACGGGGAAGGGGCAGAGAGAGAGAGAGAGAGAGAGAGACAGGAGACACAGAAUCCAAAGCAGGCUCCAGGCUCUGAGCCAUCAGCACAGAGCCCGACGCAGGGCUUGAACUGCCGAACCGUGAGAUCAUGACCUGAGCCGAAGUCGGACGCUUAGCAUCCUGACCCCGGGCACCCAGUAGAGCCCUGCUCUUCAUCACCUACUCUUUAUCGGUCUGCUGGGGCUGUGACACGUUGCAUUAGGCCAUUGAGAUGCAGGGGUUGUUACCGCAGCUAGAGGUUAGCCUAUCCUGACAUAUACAGAAUCUUACAGAACCUCUACCUAACGUAUACCCCUCCAUACAUUCAUACAGGAUUUUGCACGUAUUUGAGAGUCUUUCUGGGUCCCAGCUCCCCUUCAGCUGGUCCACGUGUCCACGUGGCCCAAGGUGAGGACCUCAACUGCCUUCAGGAAUAACACCCAGCAGAACGUGGUGGUGAAACAGUCCUGGGAACAACUCUCCGGCUUCAGGGCCUCCCUGCAGCAGAGAGGUUCUGAAGGCAACUCCCUACUUAAGGUGGCUUAGUGGCAGCCUAGGGUCUCAGGGCAGAGGUGUCCCAAGAAGGCAUCACUAAUCAUACAGGCGCUCUCCUUCAUGCCACCGAUGCCAAAGUGCUUGCUCUCAUCCCCGUGGCACGACCAGCAGCUCUGAUGGAUCACAGGUGACAGACCGGUCAGCAGCUCCUCCCGGCUGAGUCUCUGGGGCUUUGCUCAGGGCCCCCGUGCCUGCGGCCCUGCCCUCCUGCCCUGGAGCAGACCCGCUCUUUCUGUCCUGCCCCCCCUGGUAAGUUGAGCGCCCCCUGGAGGUCGGGGCUGUGUGGCAACCCUCGCCUUUCUCCUCACAGCGGCUGCAGGGUUGGGGGGCGGCAGGUGUCACUUGUUUUGCACAAGGUUGUUGAUUCCAGGGGUCAAGGACCAUCAUCAUGGCGUGCUAGAAAAGUAAAUAUUCUCAGCUUGGGGGAAGGUUAUAUUAAUUAAAAAUAACAUUAUUAUUACUAUAUUGAAUGUCUGUUCUGUUCCGGGCCCAUCUGUUAUUUCAUUAAAUCCUUCCCCAUAAUCCUAUCAGGUGAGUUUUUCAUAGCCCGUGUUCCAGGUGGGGAGGUGGAGGCGUCGAAAGGCCAGACCCGGGGUCCACAGCUGCACGACGUGGUUUACGGGCUCAACCAAGGUCAAUCCAAAGGUAAUGGGAGCAGACUUUUUCUAGGCCCCCAACGUGUGCUAGGGACCACGUCUCUCAAGUGCUUUUGAUGAAUUAUUCCAUUUAAUUCUGACAAUUUCUUUACAGAGUGGGGACUAUCGUUAUUCCCAUUCACAGGUGAGAACACCACGGCUCAGCGAGGCUAAUUUACUCGUUUCCCCCAAGGUUUCAUGGUUAAGAGAGGAGGUGCCCGGAUUCAAAUUGCAGUCAUUCUUUACAGCCUGUGCCGUCCCUCACUGGGCACCCGGCAAUGCCUCCUUCUACCGCGUGGCAAGCACAGUGAGGACCAGGUAAAUACUCUUCCAGGGGCUGUGACUUUGGGGUGGGGAACCACCCUCUGGGCAAGUCGAUAGCCUGCUUGGGUCAACACCUCCUCUGUGUUGUGCAAACUCGGGCCCUAAGCCCCGCGAGGAAAACGAGAGAGGCCCAGCCUCAAGGCGUUGCCAUGCCGGUAGAGAAGAGAGCUGUGUGCCUGCACCUGCUGCCUGAAUAAGUCAGUGCGGUGGAAAAUGUGGACGGUGCAAACCUCAGAGGACAAAGGGCACCCGGGUAAAGGCAGGGAUGGCUUUACCACGGAAGUGGAAUUGAGAUGAGCGUUGUCUACUUGGAUUUAAAUCCCAGCUAGCCCAGUGACCUUGGGGUGGUUCGCUAGCUUCUCUGACCCUCAGUUUUGCCAUCUGUAAAAUGGAAAUAGUAAAGGUACCUACCUUACAGGUUAGGUUAAACGGCGUGAAAUAAUACCAUUUAAGAUGCUUGGAAUAUAGGAAGCUCUGUAUUAUGUACUUAUUUACUCUUUUCAUUGUCAAGGGCUAGUAGAGUUUCAGUGGGUGAAGAGAGGCGUCACACACCAAGUGAACGCCCUGAGCAAAGCGAGAGGUGUUUUUAAAGAAUACUAAGUAGCUCAAUCUGGCUGGUUGAUAUGGUAGCAAUAGAAGAUGAGGCUAGAAAGAGAGUCCGGGCUCAGGUUGAUGAGUAUAUACUUAACGAGCAAUGGGGAGCCAUUGAAUGCUGUUGAGCAGGGGAGUUUCACAGCCGGAACUAGGUUCGGCUGCAGAACGUAGGGUGGACUUGGAAGGGGGGUGAUGGGAGAAGCCCAGUGGAAAAUUAUUGCCAUAGGCCAGGGGAGAGGGUGGUGACAGCUAGCAGGGCAAGGAAAGCAUGAAUUGGCACUCGUGGUAGAGGGAGGUAUUGUUAGACACACCCUUGGCCAAGAGCAGGCGUGGAAAUGGUGCCCAUCCAGGCCCAACUGAGUGGCUGGGAACCCGCAGCAGGGCUUUCCCUUCGCAGGCCCAGGCUUGGGAUGCAGUCCCUCUGGGCGUCACAUCAUCAGUGGCAUCUUUGUGCCAAGAAAGACGUAAAUGAAAGGUAGAGAAAUGGGGGACCAGCCUCCUUUGGUCCUGAGAACCCAGGGCAUCUGGUAUCCUCAGGGUGGAAAAGCUCUUUGAUGGUCCAAAAACAGGUUCCAGAGGACUCCCUUUGGAAGGGAAAAGGGAGGCAGGCUCCUUUUGGGUUCUCAUCCAGGUUUUUGAAGAGCCAAGCAGACUGGGGAGAGCUUCCUGUCCGAGGCGUGUUCUAUCUUAACCUUUCCGUGUAAUCCUGAAAGCCCACCUGAUCAAUUGAAGAUCAUAAAAUAUUAGACUUAAUGCUGCAAAGUGCUGCUUUUUAAUUCACAUAACAAGCUCCUAAAUAAUUCAAAUAGCAAACAGACCCUGCAAGUCAAUGGUGGGAGGCUGCUUGGAUCAGCGGGAGAGUGUCAGCACAUGCCACAUUUCCCGGAUCGACUCCAUUUCAAGAACCCUAUUAAGUUAAUUGCCGGUUUCUGACAGCAGAGAGCAUGCUGGGAGCACAGCGAGCUUUAUUAGCCUGUGUGGCAUCUGGAGACAUCAGCCAUUUUGCCCCUACUUGCAGGCGCUGGGAGCAGCAUGGAAAAAAGUAAAUCAAAUUACGAGACAAUAAACGCUUGUGGCAACUCACGGGCAUCAGACCCAUCAGUGAAUCCAAAGGGGUUCGGGUGUCAGUUGCUGGCCUGUUAGAUUCUUUACAGCAGCACCAUCUACACGUUGCAAGAGUCUCGCAGGAUGCCACGAGACUCUGGCACCGCACGGCCGACAGGUGGAGGGUGAUGCGGGCGAGGGUUGCCCGCCCCCUGACACCGCUGGGUAAACAGAGUCUCUAGGACGGGAGUUGUUAUCCCACGUGGGCAGUGUUACACGCUUAGGUUUGUAAGCGGACGUUCCUGGGUUGGGGGACCCAGGGGACACCCGUGGCGUUCUGGAGCCGGGCAGGGGUGGGCAGGGAAGGGAAGGCGUGUCAAGGUCGCCCGCCAUCUGUCCAUCCGGAGGUCCCCGAGCAGGGCACCGUUCCACGGCUGCGGGAGCUCCCCGUGGCAGCCGGGGUGUAUGGAGUAUGGAGCGGGGCGGAACAUCCUGGAAGCUUGGAGAUCGACCAGCAGGUGCCAUUCUGCAGAGCGGCGCUCUGAGCUCUCCAAUGCCUGCCUUUGACACAUGAGAAAACGCAGGCAAAGAGAGACUCCGAGACUGCCCCAAGGUCACACAGCCAGCCACUGACAGCUGAUUCGAGGACGAAGUUCGGUUCUGUUGCCCGACCUCAUCCCAUUCGUGUGUUUCUCUUUCAGGUGUGACGGGGUGAUGGCGACGGCCUAGAUUAGAUCAAGAUCAGAGUCCUGGCACUAGCACUGAUUGUCAGCGUGACCUCAGUUUAAGCAAGAUCUGUGACUUUGCCGUCUCUCUACCCUGCCGGCAGAGUGAAGACAGGAGCGCUUGCCUGAUGGGGUUCUCCUGGCAAGGACUGAAUUAGUGACGCAUGUUAAGUACGUGGUUAAGGCCUCAUGCUCGGUAGCUAACGCUCAACGUAAUUUGCUUCCCAUCAUCCAUAGGAGCAAGGCUCGGAUGAGCAAGAUUAUUUGUAUUUCUAGACGAUUCUUAUUCUUUUUUUUUUUCAACGUUUAUUUAUUUUUGGGACAGAGAGAGACAGAGCAUGAACGGGGGAGGGGCAGAGAGAGAGGGAGACACAGAAUCGGAAACAGGCUCCAGGCUCUGAGCCAUCAGCCCAGAGCCUGACGCGGGGCUCGAACUCACGGACCGCGAGAUCGUGACCUGGCUGAAGUCGGACGCUUAACCGACUGCGCCACCCAGGCGCCCCUCUAGACGAUUCUUUUACAAGCCGACCGUCUUCCAGUUUGUAGGGUUUGCACAUCUGAACUGUUUCAUCACGUUUGCAUAAAGGGAGUCAAACUACUCUCUCAGAUCUCUUCUCACCCCCUAUCCUCAGAUCUGGCCUUACAGUCUGCAGAAAUGAUGUUUCUCCCUGACGCAGGCCGUCAAAAUGAUAGGGUACAAUUGGAAAGACUAUCCGAGAAUGGCUGGCAGGGGUGAGGAGGGUGGGGGCAAGAUCGGCAGCAGGCGUAAGUGGGGCAGGCGGAUUGGCUGUUCCGAUCCUGGUUUUCCAGCCGCUCUGCGUCACGGGAGGGCUGUGCUUUGAUGCUGGAAGGGGUCUGAGGCACGGGGUUUGGCAGCCGCAUUUCACGGGUGGGGAGACUGAGGCCCAGAAAGGGGCAGUGACUCGCCUGAGGUCACACGGCCGGUUAGUGAGGAAGCCAGUGACAGGCGCCGGCUCCUCCUUCCUGCUUCUGCGUUCUUUCUAGUUCAGCUGGGAGUGACCUUCGGGACCCUAGAGAGGAUUUCACCCUACCUGGGAAGAGGUGGACCACUGCCGUCUGGCCGGAGCCUUGCUCCCCCCCUGCGUUCCCAGAGAGACGAUGUGCCGUUGCCCCAAAACCUCUCUCCGGAAACAGUGGCAGUUCAGAACUAAUCUACAAAAACAAUAAGAGCUAUCAUUUCUGAGGGUUGAAUUCCAGGCACUUUAUUUAUAGUUUUCUAACCCUUUGAGGUAGGUGUUACUAUGAUUCUCAUUUUGCAGAGGAGGAAACUGAGGCUUAAGUGUUAAGUGGCCUCCCCAAAGUCACCCAGCUAGCAAGUCAGAGGUAGGGUUCGAACCACGGUUCAUUUUGACUUAUGCUCUUUUCCUGUGGCAGCACCCACCCCCCUAUUAGAUUCUGGCUUACGCUAGAAGUCUCCAGAAGGUGACACGGGGAGAGACGGAUCACUCACCUGGGGUCCAGCACUAGCCAAGUUUGGUAGGCGCCCGCCGGGAGGUGUGCCGGACCCUCACCCUGCGCCAUGAUGUUCUGUCCCCUUCCUGUCCCCCUCCCACCUGUGUCUCCUGCCGAGGACAGAUCGGUGGCUAGGGACCCGGGCUCCUCUUUCACACACUCGUAGCCUCUAGUAACUAAGCCUCUAGUAACUAAGUACAUUUUCUGUUAGGAUUAACAGAAAAUGUACCUAACAGAAAAUGCAAAGCACAGUGGCUUAAGUGCAUAAAGGUGUCCCUCUGAUGUGCAAGAGGUCCUGGUAUGGUAGCUUCACGAUCAUCUGGGGCUCAGGCUGUGUCCCUCCGCCUGCUCUGCCACUCCCCACAUUUGGCUCCUGUCCUCAGUGUUGCAGAAUGCCUGCUGCAGCUCCAGCCAUCGUGUCCACAUUCCAGGUAGCAGGAAGGAGGAAGAGGGCAAAGCGAAAGCGUCUUUCUCUAAUUGUCUCUUCUCCCUUCCAGAGAACCUUUCCAGGAUUCCUUUCCUAGGAGCUUCUCUUGCUUCACUGGCGGGAACACAGUCGUGUGGCCACACCAGGCUGCGGGACAGGACGGGAAGCAGGUUCUGUAACUGGGCGCAUCACUGCCUCAAGACCGUGGACGCUUGUGAGUGAGGCAGAAUGGGUGCCGGGGAACCAGACUCUGCCACAGCGCAACUGGGUCACCUCGCCCACUUGCCAAAGGGCGGAUGGCGGAGAGAGGUGGCGUUUUGAGUGAGAGAAAACUCAAGCCACCUUUGGCGAGAAUCUUAGAUGUCGCUCUGAGAUAACUGGAAAUGCCACAGACCUAGGGUUGCAACCCCUGUGCUUUCUGGGGCUGUUUGUUCUGGGGACGGCCACCGUGAUGGAAUCAACGGUACUUCGCACCUGUCACCGGCUUGUCCCACACGGUCCCUUUUCAGAGCGUGGAUAAGUUGUAUUUCUCUGGAUGUCUGCUCCUCGUGACACAUUUAUCCUGUGGGUCUCCCGAGGUGGAUUGGAGGAAUGGGUUUCUUGGUCUGCAGGCUGCUGACGAUCAGCGGGCUCUGGAAACGAACACAGAUGUCACUGUGCCAGCUCUGUCUAUGCACCAGGCACUAUACACGUGGCAGGUCCCACCAUCCUGACAACAGACCUACAGCCAGGGGGACUCUGAUCCCGUUUUGCAGAUGCAACGUGAAGGCUCAGAGAGGCUAAGCGGCUUGCCCGAGAUCACACAGCUGGUGCUAUGGACUGAGUGUUUAUGUCCCCCCGACCGCCCAACGCCGGCCCAAAUGUAUAUGCUGCAGCCCUAAUCCCCAGUGUGGUGGUGUUUGCGGGGUGGGCAUUUCAGGGGGUAAUUAGGUUUGGAUGCGGCCGUGAGGGUAGAGCUCCCAUGAUGGGACUGGCGCCCUCAUGAAGGGGCGAAAGGCGCCGAGCUUUCUCUCCCGCUCUGCCGUCAGAGGACGCGGUGAGAAGGCAGCCGUCGGCAAUCCAGGAAGAGAGGCUUCACCAGAAACCAGCCGUGUUGGCGCCCUGACCUCAGACUUCAGCCUCCAGAACCGCGAGGAACUGAUGUCUGCUGUUUAAGCCACCAGGCUGUGGUGUUUCCGUUAUGGUGGCCGAGCUAAGACAGCUGGUAACUACCGAGAGCCCAAGGUUGUUCUUUCUCCCGCCCUCUGCCCCGACACUGGGCGCAUUCCCCAAACUCACCCUCACUCCCCUUGUGGGUCCUGGCUCCUAUGACCGCGGGGACAUCACAGAGACCUCCGGGCACGGGCUGUGGUCUAGAGGUCCUUCUUGUCUCCCCUCCUCCUCUUUUCUCCUCCGCUCCUGUCGUCUUAGAAAGACCCCUGUGGGAGUCCAGCCCCAUCACCUGGCCCCCAUGUGGGCCUGGGUCAGUCACGUCUCCUUUCUGGGCCCCACGUGGCCCCGGCCCGGGGCCCAGCCCCCUUCCCCAGUCUGCACUCACACGCAGCCCUGUGGAAAUGGUGGCGCUCCCCACAUUAGGACCCACGUGUCUGCUGGCUGGGACCAAGGGUCAUAAAUAGGAAUAAAACUUAGGCUGUCCUUGUCCCCAUCUCGGUGAGUGAAGCCCCCGAAUCUGAGGACAAAACCAGAAGCCCUCUUCUUCGAGCCCCAAGGGACAGGAAGGGCUGCGUGUGCGGCUGAGGCCCUGCUCUCCCCCCCACCCCUCCCCGACCCCCCGGGUGUCACAGGCUUCCAUAUACAUAAUCUAAAUAUAUGCUUUGGAAAUUGAAAACGUUCACAUAUAGAAUGCGGCUGUGGGGAGGGAAUGCUCUCUUGGAACAUGUCUCUUUAAAGACAGAAUGUGCCCAAGUGUUUUCCUGCCCUUAAGGAGACACUUGAACGUGGCAGCAGAUGUAAAAUGGAAAUUGGAGUGUCUCUCCCAGGCCACCGUACAUGGAGAAAACAGCGCAAUCUAUUCUAAGCGCUCAUUAAUAGCUGGUCUCUGAGGGCCCCGGCAGCAGACAGAGGAUUUUACUCAUUAAAAAGGUGACGAGGUAGCGUUUUGUGCCUUCCCUGCUUGUCACUGCGUGAUCCUGGUGUUCAGAUGUCGCUGGCAGACCCCAGAUGAGUGCCCCCGGCUUGCGGGCAUGGGUGACGAUGUUCUGAAAGGCUUCAAAGCAUCCCCCACUCACUGAUGGGGCCACAAGCCCUUGCUGUUUAUCAAGUGGAUUCGUCUCUCUUCCGAGGCGGGCCCACGAUGGCAUUGUCUCGAGAAGGAAGCAGAGAGAAGAGCUUUAGCUCAUCACCUAAUACAAGAUCGUUGGUGAUUCCCAACACGGUCCUCCAGAUGGCACCGCGAAGGACCCGGAGCCUCCAGGCGUGGUCUGGGGCAGGGGCCUGGGGUCCUCGGUGAAGUCUGGAAGGGGCCGGACCCUUGGCAGUCGAAGGCACUGGCUGAAAGACAUCUCAGCUGUGCCCACUUGGACAGGGGCCUCUGGUUUUAGAGAAAGGGGGUUCUUGGCUCAUUUUUUACCCCUACUUUUUAUUUGUUCUUUUUUAAAAGUUUAUUUAUUUUGAGAGAGAGAGAGAGAGAGAGAGAGAGAGAGAGAGAAAGAACGUGCUUGCACAAGCAGGGGAGGGCCAGAGAGAGAGGGAGGGAGAGAAUCCCAAACAGGCACCACACGGUC